rnacentral:misc_RNA from 1 species
UCAAAAGUCAAGUCGGAGGCUGCAAGUCCUUCGUCUACACCCAUUGUCUUUUGCGCACCUUAUUGUUUCCUCGGCUGGCUUGCCAUGCCGCGAUUGGACAUAAUCCAAAACCUUUUUUGUAAUCUGCAAUCAGCGUCUGAAAAUACAAUAAUUAUUA